UAGGGCCAAGAGCUGAGCUAAGAGCAGAACUGAGUAGAGCUAAAAGCUGAGCUAGGAGUAGAGCUAAGAGCUGAGCUUAGAGCUGAGCUGAGGGUAGGGCCAAGAGUAGAACUAAGGGCAGAGCCAAGUGUAGAGCUAAGAACUGAGCUGAGAGUAGAGCUGAGAGCAUGGCCAAGAGUAGAGCUAAGAGCAGAGCUGAGAGCAGGGCAGGAGAAGGGCCAAGAGCAGGGCUGGGAGUAGAGCCAAGAGUAGGGCCAGGAGUAGAACUAAGAGAAGGGCAGGAGUAGGGCCAAUAAACCAAGAGUAGGGCCAGGAGUGGGGCCAGGACUACGUAGGGCCAGGGGUAGAAAUAAGAAUAGAGCCAAGAGUAGGGCAGGAGUAGGGCCAAGAGUAGGGCCAGAAGUAGAACUAAGAGUAGAGCCAAGAGUAGGGCUGGGAGUAGAACUAAGAGUAGAGCCAAGAGUAAGGCUGGGAGUAGAGCCAAGAGUAGGGCCAGGAGUAGGACUAAGAGUAGGGCCAGGGGUGGGGCCAGGACUAUGUAGGGCCAGGAGUAGAAAUAUGAGUAGAGCCAAGAGUAGGGGCAGGAGUGGAACUAAGAGUAGAGUCAAGAGUAGGGCAGGAGUAGGGCUGGGAGUAGGGCCAGGAGUAGAACUAAGAGUAGGGCCAAGAGUAGGGCUGGGAGUAGGGCCAAGAGUGGGGCCAGGAGUACGUAGGGCCAGGAGGCCAGGAGUAGAGCCAAGAGUAGAACUAAGAGCAGGACCAGGAGUGGGGCCAGGACUACGUAGGGCCAGGGGUAGGAGUAGAACCAAGAGUAGGGCCAAGAGCAGAACUAAGAGUAGAGCCAAGAGUAGAACUAAGAGCCAAGAGUAGGACUAGGAGUAGAACCAAGAGUAGAACUAGGAGUAGAGCCAGGAGUAGAACUAAGAGUAGGGCCAGGAGUAGAACUAAGAGUAGGGCCAGGAGUAGAACUAAGAGUAGACUCUACUCUUAGUUCUGCUCUUGGCCCUACUCUUGGUUCUACUCCUACUUCUACCCCUGGCCCUACAUAGUUCUGGCCCCACUCCUGGUCCUGCUCUUAGUUCUACUCUUGGCUCUACUCCUGGCCUGCCUCUUGGCUCUACUCUUUAGUUCUACUCCUGACUCUACUCUAGUUCACUCCUGGCCCUAUCUUAUGUUCUAUUCGUGGCCC
rnacentral:lncRNA from 1 species